rnacentral:misc_RNA from 1 species
AAAGUCGUAACAAGGUCUCCGUAGGUGAACCUGCGGAGGGAUCAUUAACGAAUGGUCUCCGUGCCUUCAAACCCCAUCACACCCUGUGGAUGCAUGAACUGUGCUUUGGCGCCCCCUUACGAUGUUGGGGGGAGCCGCAUUUAUGCGGUCUACCGUAUGUCGUCUGAAUGUUUGCAGAAUCAAAACUUUCAACAAAGGAUCUCUUGGCUCUC